AGAAAGUGCUAGGCACGUAGGCGUUCAGGAGACAGUCACGGUACUCGUUUCCAGACAGAAGUCAUGAGGAACAGGAGGGAAGGUGCUUUCCCGUGAGCAGCGCUUGGGGGAGACUCACACAGACAGUUACAGGAUCUGGCAUGACAGGGAAAGGAGGAAAUGGCUUCUGUUAAUCUUUCCUUCAGCUUCUCCCGCCCUUCCUAUGCACCCUGUUUCCCUUUCCACUUCUCACUGUGACUCAAGGAACAAUGUGUGAAAUGAAAGACGUCAGGUGCUGUAUUGGCUCUUGACAGCUCUUCAGAAGAAAGCACCUCCUGCCUGUUCUGUUCAGUCCUGGUGCAGGUGGUCCUGGACAACACUUUGAAACAUGCUGUGGCAGAAACAAGCCAGCAAGCAUAUGGGAUUCAUCUGCUGUGAGUGAUAAUUUAUCUAGUUUCUAAAAAUAGUGUUAUAGGCUGGACUGUUUCCCCAUCCAUCCCCCACGCCAUGUGUAUAUUGACGCCCUAACCCCUAGUACCUCAGAAUAUGACUGUAUUUGGAAAUGGGGCCUAUAAAGAAGUAAUUAAGUUAAAACGAGGUCAUUAAGGUGGGCUCUAAUGCAGUAUAACUGGUGUCCUUAUAAGAAGAGAUUAGGACACAGAUGCACACAGAGGGAAGACCAUGUGAACACAGAGGGAGAAGACAGCCACCUGCAAGCCACAGAGAGAGCCCCUCAAAGAAACCAACCCUGCAGACAAUCUGAUCUCAGGCUUCUGGCCUCCAGAAUUGUGAGAAAAUCAAUUUCUGUUGUUUAGGU